AUUGAACGCUGGCGGCAUGCCUUACACAUGCAAGUCGAACGGCAGCACGGGAGCAAUCCUGGUGGCGAGUGGCGAACGGGUGAGUAAUGCGUCGGAACGUGCCGAGUAGUGGGGGAUAACGCAGCGAAAGUUGUGCUAAUACCGCAUACGUACUGAGGUAGAAAGUGGGGGACCUUCGGGCCUCACGCUAUUCGAGCGGCCGACGUCUGAUUAGCUAGUAGGUGAGGUAAAGGCUCACCUAGGCGACGAUCAGUAGCGGGUCUGAGAGGAUGAUCCGCCACACUGGGACUGAGACACGGCCCAGACUCCUACGGGAGGCAGCAGUGGGGAAUUUUGGACAAUGGGCGAAAGCCUGAUCCAGCCAUGCCGCGUGUCUGAAGAAGGCCUUCGGGUUGUAAAGGACUUUUGUCGGGGAGGAAAUCCCCAGCGUUAAUACCGCUGGGGGAUGACAGUACCUGAAGAAUAAGCACCGGCUAACUACGUGCCAGCCGCCGCAGUAA
rnacentral:rRNA from 1 species